GGAGGCAUAGCUCAGUCGGUUAGAGCACUUGCUUCACAUGCAAGGGGUCACAGGUUCGAGUCCUGUUGUCUCCACCA
rnacentral:tRNA from 1 species